rnacentral:rRNA from 1 species
AUAAGGGCGCACGGUGGAUGCCUUGGCACUAGGAGCCGAUGAAGGACGGGACUAACACCGAUAUGCUUUGGGGAGCUGUAAGUAAGCUAUGAUCCAGAGAUUUCCGAAUGGGGGAACCCAAUAUCUUUUAUAGGAUAUUACUUUUCAGUGAAUACAUAGCUGAUUAGAGGUAGACGCAGAGAACUGAAACAUCUUAGUACCUGCAGGAAGAGAAAGAAAAUUCGAUUCCCUGAGUAGCGGCGAGCGAAACGGGAAGAGCCCAAACCAACAAGCUUGCUUGUUGGGGUUGUAGGACUCCGAUAUGGUAGUCUGUUAGUAUAGUUGAAGGAUUUGGAAAAUUCCGCUAAAGAGGGUGAAAGCCCCGUAGACGAAAUGCUGACAACACCUAGGAGGAUCCUGAGUACGGCGGAACACGAGAAAUUCCGUCGGAAUCCGCGGGGACCAUCCCGCAAGGCUAAAUACUCCCUAGUGACCGAUAGUGAACCAGUACCGUGAGGGAAAGGUGAAAAGCACCCCGGAAGGGGAGUGAAAUAGAUCCUGAAACCGUGUGCCUACAACAAGUCAAAGCUCGUUAAUGAGUGAUGGCGUGCCUUUUGUAGAAUGAACCGGCGAGUUACGAUUGCAUGCGAGGUUAAGUCGAAGAGACGGAGCCGUAGCGAAAGCGAGUCUGAAUAGGGCGAAUGAGUAUGUAGUCGUAGACCCGAAACCAUGUGAUCUACCCAUGUCCAGGUUGAAGGUGCGGUAAAACGCACUGGAGGACCGAACCCACGUACGUUGAAAAGUGCGGGGAUGAGGUGUGGGUAGCGGAGAAAUUCCAAACGAACUUGGAGAUAGCUGGUUCUCUCCGAAAUAGCUUUAGGGCUAGCCUCGGAAUUGAGAAUGAUGGAGGUAGAGCACUGUUUGGACUAGGGGCCCAUCUCGGGUUACCGAAUUCAGAUAAACUCCGAAUGCCAUUCAUUUAUAUCCGGGAGUCAGACUGCGAGUGAUAAGAUCCGUAGUCGAAAGGGAAACAGCCCAGACCACCAGCUAAGGUCCCAAAAUAUAUGUUAAGUGGAAAAGGAUGUGGGGUUGCACAGACAACUAGGAUGUUGGCUUAGAAGCAGCCACCAUUUAAAGAGUGCGUAAUAGCUCACUAGUCGAGUGACCCUGCGCCGAAAAUGUACCGGGGCUAAACAUAUUACCGAAGCUGUGGACUACACCAUUAGGUGUAGUGGUAGGAGAGCGUUCUAAGGGCGUUGAAGGUCGAUCGUGAGGACGGCUGGAGCGCUUAGAAGUGAGAAUGCCGGUAUGAGUAGCGAAAGACAGGUGAGAAUCCUGUCCACCGUAUGACUAAGGUUUCCUGGGGAAGGCUCGUCCGCCCAGGGUUAGUCGGGACCUAAGCCGAGGCCGAUAGGCGUAGGCGAUGGACAACAGGUUGAUAUUCCUGUACCAGUUGUUUUUGUUUGAGCAAUGGAGGGACGCAGUAGGCUAAGGAAUGCAUGCGAUUGGAAGUGCAUGUCCAAGCAAUGAGUCUUGAGUAGAGUUAAAUGCUUUACUCUUUAAGGACAAGUUGUGACGGGGAGCGAAAUAAUAGUAGCGAAGUUCCUGAUGUCACACUGCCAAGAAAAGCUUCUAGUGAGAAAACAACUGCCCGUACCGUAAACCGACACAGGUAGUCGAGGAGAGUAUCCUAAGGUGAGCGAGCGAACUCUCGUUAAGGAACUCGGCAAAAUGACCCCGUAACUUCGGGAGAAGGGGUGCUGACUUCGGUCAGCCGCAGUGAAUAGGCCCAAGCGACUGUUUAUCAAAAACACAGGUCUCUGCAAAAUCGUAAGAUGAAGUAUAGGGGCUGACGCCUGCCCGGUGCUGGAAGGUUAAGAGGAUGGGUUAGCUUCGGCGAAGCUCAGAAUUGAAGCCCCAGUAAACGGCGGCCGUAACUAUAACGGUCCUAAGGUAGCGAAAUUCCU